UCAGUACCAUUGGUCUAGUCAUGAAUAAUCUAUCUUUGGUACAUGUUCUAUUUCUCUGUUUUCAAUAUCUUACUGUUGGUGCUUGCAUUAUAAUUUUUGUAGAACUAGAAUUAGAUGUGGUGCUGGAAAUGUCUGAUUCGUAGACCGAAAUUCAGCCGCUUUUAAUCAGGAGGUGAAGGUUCCUAUAUAUCUCUCCAAGUCCACACGGCGCUACGGGGACUAGUGACAUUGCACGUCGUCUUCAACACUCCUCUUUGCAAAGAAUAGGAUGAUGUUGGGAUUCAUAUGUAUCAACACCCCCGCCUUUGAAAGUAACCUUAUCCUCAAGGUUGAAACGAAGAAAAUGACUUUUGAUGACAUUCUUUACAUUCCAAAGAACACUUGUAAUCCGGAAGGCCCUUCCACUCGAUGAGUACUUCCUCAAGGGAGUUGGUGAAACAUUUGGGAGAGUGACAAUCGAAGCAAUGGCUUAUGGACUUGCAGUGGUGGGAACAGAUGCAGGAGGAGCAAAAGAGAUCGUGCAGCACAAUGUGACCGGUUUACUUCACUCAAUGGGACGAUCCGGUAACAAAGAAUUAAUCUCUUGUUGCUACUUAGAAAUCCAGAAACGAGGCUACGAUUAGGGAGUGAAGGACGCAAAAUGGUUGAGAAAAUGUACAUGAAGCAACAUAUGUACAAUCGAUUCGUUGAUGUUCUUAUCAAAUGCAUGAGACCAUAAAAAACACUUGGAUUUACCAAAAAAUUUAGGUUAAAAAACGAAAAUUUUCAAGCUA